rnacentral:rRNA from 1 species
GACGAACCGUGCGACCGUUAUUCGGAAUCACUGGGCUUAAAGCGCGUGUAGGCGGAUGGGGACGUCGGUCGCUGAAAUCCCCCGGCUCAACCGGGGAACGGGCGCCGAAACGCCCCGUCUCGAGGGACGUAGGGGGACCUGGAACUUCCGGUGGAGCGGUGAAAUGCGUUGAGAUCGGAAGGAACGCCCGUGGCGAAAGCGAGGUCCUGGACGUCUUCUGACGCUGAGACGCGAAAGCUAGGGGAGCGAACGGG